UACGUAGGAUGCAAGCGUUGUCCGGAAUUAUUGGGCGUAAAGAGCGCGCAGGCGGUAUGACAAGUCAGAUGUGAAAGAGGCCGGCUUAACCGGCAAGGGUCAUUUGAAACUGUCAGACUAGAGUGCAGCAGAGGAUAGUGGAAUUCCUGGUGUAGCGGUGAAAUGCGCAGAUAUCAGGAAGAACACCCGUGGCUAAGGCGGCUCUCUAGUACGGUACUGACGCUGAGACGCGAAAGCGUGGGGAGCAAACAGG
rnacentral:rRNA from 1 species